rnacentral:rRNA from 1 species
CAGUAGCCACGGUAAUACAGAGGGUGCGAGCGUUAAUCGGAUUUACUGGGCGUAAAGCGUGCGUAGGCGGCUUUUUAAGUCGGAUGUGAAAUCCCUGAGCUUAACUUAGGAAUUGCAUUCGAUACUGGGAAGCUAGAGUAUGGGAGAGGAAGGUAGAAUUCCAGGUGUAGCGGUGAAAUGCGUAGAGAUCUGGAGGAAUACCGAUGGCGAAGGCAGCCAUCUGGCCUAAUACUGACGCUGAGGUACGAAAGCAUGGGGAGCAAACAGGAUUAGAUACCCCGGUAGUCCCUGUCUCUUAUAC